rnacentral:rRNA from 1 species
GGAGUUAGCCGGUGCUUCUUCUGUGAGUGAUGUCCUUCCUGCCGGCUAUUAACCCGCAGGCCUUCUUCCUCACUGAAAGUGCUUUACAACCCGAAGGCCUUCUUCACACACGCGGCAUGGCUGGAUCAGGGUUGCCCCCAUUGUCCAAUAUUCCCCACUGCUGCCUCCCGUAGGAGUCUGGGCCGUGUCUCAGUCCCAGUGUGGCUGAUCAUCCUCUCAGACCAGCUACGGAUCGUCGCCUUGGUGAGCCGUUACCUCACCAACCAGCUAAUCCGACAUAGGCUCAUCCGAUAGCGCGAGGCCCGAAGGUCCCCCGCUUUCCCCCGUAGGGCGUAUGCGGUAUUAGCCUGGGUUUCCCCAGGUUAUCCCCCACUACCGGGCAGAUUCCUAUGCAUUACUCACCCGUCCGCCGCUCGCCACCAGGGAGCAAGCUCCCCGUGCUGCCGCUCGACUUGCAUGUGUUAGGCCUGCCGCCAGCGUUCAAUCUGAACACGAGCAAUACUNACUAGAGACGGCGUGGCGACGACGGCGACUAG